GGCCGGUCUGAAGGUAUUGCGUUAUCUCAGUCAGUUAUUCACAGUUGGUUACAGAUCAAACUCCUUGUUCUACUCUUCUCCCCUUCUCACUACUGCACUUGACUGGUCUAUU
rnacentral:Y_RNA from 1 species